AGUGAACGCUGGCGGUAGGCCUAACACAUGCAAGUCGAACGGCAGCACAGUAAGAGCUUGCUCUUACGGGUGGCGAGUGGCGGACGGGUGAGGAAUACAUCGGAAUCUACUUUUUCGUGGGGGAUAACGUAGGGAAACUUACGCUAAUACCGCAUACGACCUACGGGUGAAAGCAGGGGAACUUCGGACCUUGCGCGAUUGAAUGAGCCGAUGUCGGAUUAGCUAGUUGGCGGGGUAACGGCCUACCAAGGCAACGAUCCGUAGCUGGUCUGAGAGGAUGAUCAGCCACACUGGAACUGAGACACGGUCCAGACUCCUACGGGAGGCAGCAGUAGGGAAUAUUGGACAAUGGGCGCAAGCCUGAUCCAGCCAUACCGCGUGGGUGAAGAAGGCCUUCGGGUUGUAAAGCCCUUUUGUUGGGAAAGAAAAGCAGCAGGUUAAUACCCCGCUGUUCUGACGGUACCCAAAGAAUAAGCACCGGCUAACUUCGUG
rnacentral:rRNA from 1 species